GCUUGGUGGGACCUGACGAGUUGGUGU
rnacentral:piRNA from 1 species